rnacentral:siRNA from 1 species
UUGUGUUGGCCUUCGGGAUCG